CCUCGCUCCCGCGACUCCGCUGCGGGGGUACUUAACCGAAACUAGCAAUCCCAGGCGGUACAAGGCCCUCCAUCGUAGGCAAAGCACUACCUGAAUGUAGAUUUGGGCCAUACGUUGGAAAAUAAGACAUGAGAGUAUGCUCCGAUCAACUUUUACUGUUCACUGGACAACUAUUUUGGGAAUUUGCAGACCUAUAAAGCCCAUCUAUAAAUCUCAAGCAUGUCCACUUUCAGAGAAGAGAAAUGCUGACAACCAUUUAGUCUCUGAGGACAACACUUUUAAAGUGUAACAAUGUGGCAUCCAGAGCUUAUCCAGAUGAGCGGAGAGCAAAUGAAUUUCCUUCUGCUCCCCUGUUGAAGAGGAGAGAAAAAUUCUUCAAGCUGUA
rnacentral:lncRNA from 1 species